CCUACGGGAGGCAGCAGUGGGGAAUUUUGGACAAUGGGCGCAAGCCUGAUCCAGCAAUGCCGCGUGCAGGAUGAAGGCCUUCGGGUUGUAAACUGCUUUUGUACGGAACGAAACGGCGAGCUCUAAUACAGUUUGCUAAUGACGGUACCGUAAGAAUAAGCACCGGCUAACUACGUGCCAGCAGCCGCGGUAAUACGUAGGGUGCGAGCGUUAAUCGGAAUUACUGGGCGUAAAGCGUGCGCAGGCGGUGAUGUAAGACAGAUGUGAAAUCCCCGGGCUCAACCUGGGACCUGCAUUUGUGACUGCAUCGCUAGAGUACGGUAGAGGGGGAUGGAAUUCCGCGUGUAGCAGUGAAAUGCGUAGAUAUGCGGAGGAACACCGAUGGCGAAGGCAAUCCCCUGGACCUGUACUGACGCUCAUGCACGAAAGCGUGGGGAGCAAACAGGAUUAGAUACCCUGGUAGUCCACGCCCUAAACGAUGUCAACUGGUUGUUGGGUCUUCACUGACUCAGUAACGAAGCUAACGCGUGAAGUUGACCGCCUGGGGAGUACGGCCGCAAGGUUGAAACUCAAAUGAAUUGACGG
rnacentral:rRNA from 1 species